rnacentral:tRNA from 1 species
GGAGAGAUGUCCGAGCUGGCCGAAGGAGCACGAUUGGAAAUCGUGUAUACCCCAAAAGGGUAUCCGGGGUUCAAAUCCCCGUCUCUCCGCCA